AUGGCAGUGGCGAGUACCUCUUCGGCUCUCCGGCUCCUGCCUCUCCUCCUCGCACUCCUACUCGCUGCCACCAGCGAGGCCACCACAUUCAAAAUCAUCAACCAAUGCUCCUACACCGUGUGGCCAGCCGCUCUACCGGGAGGUGGCGUGAAGCUUGAUCCGGGGGAGACGUGGGCGUUGAACAUGCCCGCUGGUACCUCAACAGGGCGCAUCUGGGCACGCACAGGCUGCUCACUCCUUGGCAAAGGUGGGUCAUGCCAAACUGGCGACUGCAGCGGCUUGCUCGCCUGUACGGUCAGUACUCGAUCGCCCAUCACGCUGGGCGAGUUCAGUCUUGCCCAAGGCCAAAGUGAUGAUGAUUUCUUCGACAUCUCGCUCAUUGAUGGCUUCAACGUGCCCAUGGACUUCCUGCCGGUGCCGGUUCAGGGAAGGUCAGGAUGCAGCAAGGGGCCGCGUUGUGCAGCCAACAUCACAUCGCAGUGCCCAAGAGAGCUGAAGGCUCCAGGAGGGUGUAACAAUCCCUGUACUGGGAGCACGACAAGCCGUUGCAACACAAGUUACUCAGCCUUCUUUAAGCAGAUGUGCCCAUAUGCCUACAGCAAGCCUGAUGAUACAUCCACUUACUCUUGCCCGUCGGGCACAAAGUACCAGGUCAUCUUCUGUCCCCUGAUUAAUCAAACACUCUCACCUACAGAUGAAAGUCCCCUGCCUGCACCCCCGGCCAAGGCAACACCUUCGACCCCAAGUACUCUGCCUACAGCUAUUGGGCCAACAAGCAUGAAACCUAAAUCCCCCUCUGGAAGAAGAGUUGUUGCAAUUCUAGCUCCUGUAGGCGGCUUAAUUUUGCUCACCAUCUUGUUCCUCAUCGCCUUCUUUAUAUGUAAACGAAGAACACAACAACAACAUGAGAUGGAAGAAGAGGAAGAGUUUGGGGAGCUAGAAGGAACACCAAUGAGGUUCACAUUUCAACAGCUAAGAGCAGCAACCGAGCAAUUUGCAGACAAGCUCGGGGAAGGAGGAUUCGGGUCUGUUUUCAAGGGACAGUUUGGUGGUGAAAGGAUUGCAGUAAAACGUUUGGAUCGAACUGGUCAGGGCAAAAGAGAAUUUUCGGCAGAAGUUCAGACAAUUGGCAGCAUUCAUCAUAUUAAUCUGGUGAGAUUGAUUGGUUUCUGUGCAGAGAAAUCCCACAGGCUCUUGGUAUAUGAGUACAUGCCCAAAGGAUCCUUGGACAGAUGGAUCUAUUGUUGA
rnacentral:rRNA from 1 species